CAGCCAGGCUGACAGAUCAGCAGAGUGUGAAAAAUUCUUAUUUGUCAGGUAAAGCAGAAGAAGUUCGUCCAUUUUGUUGGGUAGAGAGCAGAGAUUUGCCAGCUGGAUGCUAGGCAGUGCUGUUCUAAAUUCGCACUGUCUGAGCUUCGUGAGCGCGCCGGCUCACCUCCCACGUUUGCGCGUCUUAAAGCGUUUGAUCAGUGCCACUGCUCCGCCAACGACUAUGUUCAGCAAAACGUACAAAUAGACGAAAUCUGGUAAAAGAUUGUGUGGUGUGUACUGCGAAUGUUCAGCAGUUCAUCCCUGGUAAAACUGAUCAUGUUUGAGAAACAAAAACAGGAAAAACGUACAAAAACAGUACAAAAACUGGAGAGCCACACACUGAGGCAGCCGUCUGCGGCAUCAUCUUGGACAUCAUUCUGAUUUCUGACUUCUGACUUCAAGGAAAUAUAGAUUGCAUUCAGUUAAAGCUUAAGUGGGACCCAUAUUAUCAUUUACACAAUUUAUCCCCCUUUUUUAAGGUUUCCAGCAGCAAAUCACCAUUUAAAUACCUUAUUUCCACUCUUUAAUCCCAAGAAACUUUCUGACUAUCUCUGAAUCGCGUACUCAUAAAGUGAACUAAUAAACCCAAUAAUCAGCCUCCCUCAGUGGACAUUGCCUGUGGCAGCCUGAAGGCAGGUCCUCUAAUUCCCAAUAACAGCUGAUUAUUGCUGAAUAUAUCUUUGAGAAUGGAGGAAAUAAUGGGACAUGCUGCUCUUGGGUGCCCAUAUAAUCCAGCCAUUAGAAUUUAAUGUGAUUUAGCCCUUAAUGUGUGUAAGAAAAGAAGGAGAGAUAUUCAAGAGAGCUUGUGGUUGUGGUUAAUACACAAAAAAAGGGAAUGCAUAUAAAGAGGUGUUUAUUUUAUGCAGUAAAAAUAAAAGUGAUUUUGCAGACUAAAAGUCACAUUGACUAAUGAUAGAAUGAAUGAUGUGAAAAAUGUUAAACUGAUCUAAACAAAAAAGUCACCUUCACAGAGAAGCCCUCAGCUUCUUCUUCAGCAGAUUUAACUAGAAUCUGAUGAAAGCAGCUAUUGGCAGCCAGUGUAAACUGAGGAAAAAAGGUGUGAUGUGUGCUUUAUUUAGCUCAUUGAAGACCACUCUCGCUGCUGCAUUCUGGAUCAGCUGCAGAGGGUUGAUAGUACAUGGCGGAAGACCCGCCAAGAGAGCAUAAUAAUAGUCCAGUCUGGAGAGAACAAAGGCUUGGACAAGGAGGUGUGGCCUGCUCUGAUAGGAAGGGUCUAAUCUUCUAAUGUUGUAUAAGGCAAAUCUGCAGGACCAGGCCAUUGUAGCAAUAUGGUCUGUGAAGCUUAACUGAUCAUCAGUCACAACUCCAAGGUUCCCUAGGUUUUUAACGACCAGGAGACAGAUAUGUUCCAAAGCCAUCCACUUGCCUUAGUAGAAAACUACUUUUGGCACAACAGCUAAGGACUGGAUAGCAGUCAUAACACACCGUCCCAGGAUGCCAUGAACACAAUGUUUUGACACAUGGCUUCUUCUCUGUGUUGAAUAUGCCAAACUGGAAUUGAGUUACAAGUUUAAAGUAUUUUAUU
ensembl:lncRNA